CUCUGGUGGAAACACUGUUAUGGUAUAAGAGCUAGACAGAGCCCAGCGGGAGCUGUUGUCCUUGAAGCACACUAAACCAGGCCAAAGGCAUUUGAGCUUCAGGUGUUCAAUCAUCAUACUGGAACAUGGUCAAGCUUUUCCUGUCAGCACCCAAUCAGAAACCAUCAUCAGCCCAGCACCCCAAACACCAGGACUCACGGUGCCCUCUCCACCACCCUGCUUGUGUAUCACCCGGACUGCUCAUCAUCCGGGUACAGAACUUAACCUCGGGAGAAUAAGAGACAGAGCGACGAGAGGAGAGUCCAAGAGGUAAUUUGAUUUUAACAGAACUGAUGGAUGAGAGGUUAAUGGGAGGUACAUCAGUUGACUGUUGGUAAUAGGGAGCACACUGAGGUGAAAAGUGCA